UAAGAAAUUGUAAGUCCAGAAGUCUGUUGAGAUUAUGAGGACAGUUUUAGUUGUGAUCAUAAUAAGGAUGUAUUGCUAUGGAUGUUUUAUGGGAUGUAUAAGAUUAUUUUUUAAUUUUGUUAUCAGUUUAAAUGUCAAGUUCUCAUGUUCAUAGAGGAUGUGUAUGACUGGUAGAUAUAGAAGCUGUGUAAGUAAAGGAAGAGCUAGAAUUGCAGCAUCUGUUUUGGAGAAUGGAAUUUGUAGGAGAUAAAUUAACAGCUAUUAAGUUAUUAAUUUGUAAAAGGAAUUGUGGAAAGUAUAACUAAUGUUGACAGAAUAAUGGUUGAAGAGAUUUGUGUCAAUAUAUGCUAUCAAGUGUGACAAGAUUGAGCAAAUCUAUGAUCAAAAACAUUCCAAAUACAGUGUUUCAAAGAUUGCAUUAUCAAAUGUGACUUUUCUUUUUUAAGAUGGGAAGUGUGUGUGUGUCGGGGGGUAUGAUUUGAAGGACAUUUGGUUACUAUUUCAGACAGGAUAAGACUACAAAGCAGCUUUUUUUUAUUAGAAGUUGAAGAUGUUGCUCUACCCUAUAAUGGUGAUGAGUGUAGAUCUGAGGAAAAUGCUGCUGAUGUUGAACAUGUAUGUGAGUGUGAAAUUGGAUGACUUGUAAAAACUCUUUAAUUAUUACAUGGCAUUGAAAGGAAUGAUGAAGUUUCUUAAUAAAUCGCAGUACAUAAUCACAAAAAUAAAGACAGAAUUUCAAACAUGUCCCAAUCGUUUUUAAAUUAUUUAUUUAUCAACAAUUAGAACCAUGAAAUCUUCACACAGAAUUGAUGCUGUAAUGUAAAACUGUUCCAAGUUUUUUUUCAUAAAAUUCUGACUUUACAGAUAACAAACAAAAGAAUUUAUAGA